CUCGGUUGACUUAUGGUUCAAAACAACAGUCUUUGAAGUUUCUUUUUCAAAUGCUUACGUAGCAAAUUGAGACCAAGUCUUGUUUUCUCUCUUUCAGACUCUUAAACUAGCUGUAGUGUACAUUCUUGCACCUCCAGCAUCUAAAUCUUGCCUGCAAAAUUCUUUGGCAGCAGCCAUGGAUGUCCGAAACAAUCCAUGGAUCAUGUUUUUGGUUAUCUUUUUUUGUUUUCCUCUCAACUCCCAUGUCUCCCUUGGAGCUGAUACAAUCUCUGCAAACAGUUCUCUCUCUGGAGACCAAACUAUUGUCUCAGCACGAAAAGUCUUUGAACUUGGUUUCUUCCAUCCAGGCGUCCAUGCAGGAAGUGUAAAAAUUUAAAGUUUCUGCAUCAAGAUGUUGUAACGAUGCAUCUUCUAACCAAAGGGUUCAUGGAGGAUUACCUGUGUUGGUAUGCACACGGAGAACUAUUUGUUCCUAAUGAGAGCAUGGAAGAACAGGUGGUUGGGUCAAGUUCUAGUGCUAGCAACAUGCAUGAAGUUGGAAAUGAGAACAGUAAUCCUUACAGGAAUAUGGUUAUGGAUGCAAUGAGAAUGAGUGAAGGUAAUGUCAGGGAAUGUCCAAUCGUAGAACAAGAACCUAAUGCAAGUGCAGCAAGGUUUUUUAAUCUGUUGAAAGAUUCUGACGAACCAUUAUGGGAUGGUUGCACGAACCACAGUAAAUUAUCAGCCGUAGCACAGGUGUUCACCAUCAAGUCAGAUCACGGGUUGAGUGAGGCCGGUUAUGACAAGAUUAUUGAAUAGGCGAGAAGCAUUUUACCUGAAGGGAACAGGUUGAAAGAGAACUUCUAUGCUGCCAAGUCCAUGAUGAAACCCCUCGGUUUAGGAUACCAGAAAAUUGAUAUAUGCCCUAACUUCUGCAUGUUAUACUACCUUGAAAAUGCCGAGAUGACCGAGUGCAUGACAUGCGGGCAUUCCCGUUACAAACCCAGAACUGGUAGAGGGAAGACUCUCGUGGCAUAUAAAAAACUUAGAUACUUCCUAAUCACACCUAGAUUGCAGAGGUUAUUCAUGUCACCAAGGACUGUUGAGCACAUGACAUGGCACCAAUCACACCAUGCGGUUGAUGGAGUGAUGGUUCAUCCUUCUGACGGUGAAGCAUGGAAACAUUUUAAUAGUGUGCAUCCUCACUUUUCAGCUGAAUCAAGAAACGUGCGUCUUGGGUUGUGUACAGACGGAUUCAACCCAUUCGGGUCAUUUGCUGCUCCUUAUUCUUGUUGGCCGGUCAUACUGACGGUUAAUAACUUGCCACCGAGGAUGUGUAUGAGGCUAGAGUUCAUGUUUUUAUCUAUGGUCAUACCAGGUCCGAGCAGUCCGGGGCGGAAUAUAGAUGUUUGUCUUCGUCCGUUGAUUGAUGAGUAGACGCAGUUGUGGUCCUCUAGAGCUUUGACUUAUGACAUAUCGAGGAAACAGAAUUUUGUUAUGAGAGCGGCUUUGAUGUGGACUAUCAAUGAUUUCCCAGCUUAUGGAAUGGUUUCUGGUUGGAGCACGCAUGGAAAGCUAGCAUGUCCAUACUGUAUGCAGCACAACAAGACAUUCACGCUAACAAACGGUGAGUUGAAAAGGAUGUUGCACCCCCGCGUCUUUCCGGUGAAGAAUUGUUUGAUGUUGUGUUAAAGUACGGUGACAUUAUGUUUGGUCUCCAAUCAGGUAAGCAGAAGUUUCCUAGUUUUGGUUUGACCCAUAAUUGAGUGAAGCGAAGUAUCUUUUGGGAGCUUCCUUAUUGGAAGACCAAUAUUCUCCGCCAUAACCUUGAUGUCAUGCACAUUGAAAAGAACGUGUUUGAUAACAUUUUUAACACCGUCAUGGAUGUGAAGGGGAAGACAAAGGACAACAUUAAGUCUAGAUUUGAUGUAGCGCUGUUCUGUAACAGUAAAAAUAUGGAGUUGGUUCGUGAUGGGUCACGGGUCGCAAAACCAAGAGCGUACUAUUUAUGUUCGACUUAAACUUUGUCAAGAGUGUACUAUUUAUGUUUUGUGAUACCAUACACUCAUAUAAUUUGGAACAACCUUGCAGGCAACAUCGACGAUACUUACUGUCCAAUAACUCACAGCUGAUCGAAUCCCAGAUCUUUCAAUUACAAGAUGAACAAUUUGCCACAUGGUUUAGAGCACAUGUUUAUCAAAUGGGAGGUAGUGCUGCUAUUUCACUGUCUUUACUAAGCCUGGGCCCUAAAAGAAAAGUCAAGUGCUAUAACAGGUAUUUUGUCAAUGGAUAUGUCUUUCAUACUGAAGAAUACGGGCAUGGAAGAAAGACAUACAACAACGGUGUUUGUAUUAAGGGAUCAACUUCUAGUGAGUUUGAAGUUAACUACUACGGUAGAUUGGAAGAGGUCAUCGAACUGCAAUAUCAUAGCGAGCAGAAUAGAGUAUUUUGAUUCAAAUGCUAUUGGUAUGACACAACUAACAGAGGAAUCAGAGUAGAUCCUCAAUAUGGUCUCGUUGAAAUCAACUCAAAAGCUAGACACCAUAACGUAAACGAUGUCUUUGUUUUCGCAAAGCAAUGCCAACAAGUUUAUUACACAUACACCCUUUCCUUUAGAAAGGACCGAUCAAGAGUUUAUUGGUUAUCCGUUUUAAAAACAAAACCCAAGGGUCGUGUCGAGGUUGUUCAGGAUGAGAACGAAGACACUAGUGUGAUAGAUGAAGUCUUUCAAGCUAGUGAGUUGGUUGAACCAUACCGAGUUGCUCCUUCGAUUGACUUAGAAGAAAAUUUGAAUUUUCAUGUUUUCAAUGAUAGUCUUGUUGAUGUUGACGUAGAGGAGUUGAAUGCUAUUUUGAGCUCUACUAGUGGACAAAAGAAUGUUGUUGAAGAAUAUGAUAACGAAAUUGAAAAGUGCGAUGAAGCUGAUGAUAACAAUUUAAUUGAGGACGAAGAUGAAAAUUCCGACUAACUAAACAUGUUCUAAAGCUUUAUUUUUAUAAUGUAAUAAUUUGGAACAUGAAAUAUUUAUUCUUCUUUAAUGGUCAGCUCUUGUUAUUGUGCUGCGUGUGCUGUAAGAGUGCAAUUCAAGAUUUUGUGACAGGGUUACACAAAAAAACAAGAAAAAUUUACGGUUUCACUGACGGGUACACCGACGGACUAUAACCCAUCGGUAUUUCACAGAGAGUUGAAAAACAUUUACGGGAUUGUGCCACACUCACCGACGGCGUCACCGACGGCUUAUAACCCGUCGGUAUUUCACAGAGAGUUGAAAAAAAUUUACGGGAUUGUGCCACAAUCAUCGACGGAAUCACUGACGGUGUUACCGACGUAUAUUACCGAUGGAUUACCCAGAUCCCGAAGCGCACGCAUGUCAGACGUGUGUCCAUCGACACAAGUACCGACGGAUUUUCCGACAGAUCGAAAAGUCUAGCGGGAUUUUCGAACUUUUUUGGUGCGCAUAUAAAUUAAUUUCCGAUAGUAUUACUUACGGAAUUUAAUGCCACCGACAACAAUUAAUGUCCGUCGGUAAUUCCGUUGGAAAAAUUGCCAUAUAAAACACCCCCUUCCCCCCAUUUGGUUCAUUUUUUUCUCUCGGCUCCGUUUCUCUUCUUCUCCAUUUCUCUUCUCCUCUCCAUUUUUAUUUGGCUUUUUGAAGAGAUUUUAUUAUUUUGGUGGUAGUUUUAAAAGGUAUGUAUUCUUUUUUCUUUAUCUUUGUAUUUUUUUAUUUUAAUUAUGAUUAUUUUUUUUGGUGUUCUUUGUUUUGUGUAUUGUUUGUAGAUAAAAUCUUAAAUUCAACACACUAUUAAGGUAAGCAUUUUUUAUUCCCAAAUUUAUUUUGAAUUGAUAUAGUGUUUUUUAGUUUUGUGUAUUGUUUGUUUUGUGUUUAGGUUGUCUUGUAUAUUGUUUUUUAGUUUUUUAAUUUUAUUUAUUAAUUUUAUGAUAUUAUUGUUUGUAUUGCUAUAAUUAUUAUUGUUGAAUUUAUGUUAAAAAUGUUAAUUUAUAUAUAGAAUUACAUUUAAUUAGUUUAUCUUAAUUUAGGAUAUUAUUAUUUGUAUUGCUAUAAUUGUUAUUGUUGAAUUUAUGUUUUAAAUGUUAAUUGAAAUAUAGAAUUAAAUUUAAUUAGUUUAUCUUAAUUUUAGGAUAUUAUUGUUUACUUGUCAUUGUUAUUGCUUGUAACUCUAAGUACCAAUUUAACAAUGAAUGUUCAUAGUUGAAAUUGAUUCUUUUACUUGGAUUUUGUUAUAUGAUGUUAUUGAAUAAGAUGUUUUGUAUUGAUGAUGAUGAGUUGGGUUGAGAUCCAGGAUGAUUGGAUCGGGAUGUGAAAUAAAAUUGGAAGUGUAAUAUGAUUUUGUCGAUAACUUGGGACCCCCCAGUAUAGGGGAGACUCUGUCGAUUUUUUUUUAAAUAAUCGAAGUUAAUUAUGUAAUUAUUCGUAUAAAUUUGUGUAGAUGCGUAGAAUGAAAUUUACAGCACGUCGUCAGAAGACGGUUGCAGCUAGUUCUUCUAGCAGCGAGGAGGACGUAUCCUUAGGUGCUGAUCACGACGAGGAAUCUACGCCAACUUGUGAUGCUGCCUCUUCUAGCGCGGUGUCACAGCGCAGAAGCGGUGUGCUUUCACAGUGGGGUCAAUUCACCCGCAAGUACCAGGCACAAUGGAAGGAUGACCUCUCAAUGUAUACUUAUAACAUAAUUUAUGAACAACUAAUUAAUAUUAUUACUUUUAUUUAAUUUCAGGUUCACAAACAUUGAGGCUGCAAGGGCUAUAACAUUGGCGUUUAAAUCGUCGAUGGAGAUUCCAUUGUUUCAAUGGAGCCAGGUUUCCAGACAUCCUGAGUGGAAACCUAAUAUCGAUGCAUGGUUUAAGCGAUUUCAGAACAAAUUUGAGUGGGAUAAGGCGAACAACAAUGUUGUGAGGAGGGUAUGGGAGAAUCACGCGGCAACUAGGUUGCGUGAUUUUUGGUAUGACACCCAAAAACAAUCAAAAAGAAACGCGAGGGAUAACGGUCUUGAAGGAUGGAAUGAGGUGGCGGUUUGACGGGAAUUCAAACCGCCAUUCAUCUCGGGGGAAAUAUGGACAACAUAUAUUGAGCACGUGACCUCAGAGCGGUUCUCACGGCGCUCACAGUUCGGCGCCGACAAUCGGAACCGGCAAAUUCAUGGUUCGGUGACCACGCACACUGGCGGAUCUGUCCCAUUCAGCGCACAUGCAAAGCGGAUGGCUGCGUCUCUUGGACGUGAGCCGAGUCCAAUGGAGCUGUUUGUAGAGACGCAUGUGCGGAGUCAAGACCGCCAAAAGGGGAUGCAGCAGUUUGUGGACAACCGUGCUCAGCACUUUGUGGACAACCGUGCUCAGCACUUUGUGGAGACCUAUAAUAGCCGGUUGAGGGAGAGAUAUGGGUACAAUCCUUCGACCCAUCCAGAUUUCGAUCCAGAUUUGUGGAUGGAGGUGGGAUCGUCUGGUGGACCCGAUAAAAAUCGGGUAUACGAGCUCUCCAACAUUACGACUGAAAACUUGCGUUCGGGUCGUAGUGUCUCAACCGUUGGGAGCUCUCCAUCAGUAUCGAGCACCCAGUCUAAGGAGCUCAUUGCCUUGAAACAACAAUAUCAACAACUCUCGACGAAUUAUAAUGAGCUCCAUCAUAUAGUCAUGGAGAUGAGAUCAAAGAUGGGUGAUGAUACUUGUGCAGGGCCUUUUUGGUCGUACGAUCCCGGGAACAACCAGCCUUCUCCUCCAGCUCCACCGCUAUUCUAGUUUAAUUUUGUUUUUUAAACACAUUAAAUUUGUAAUGAAUAUUUGGAUGAAUAUUAUUUAACAUUAUUUUUAUAUUUUCAAUGUUUAAUCCAAUUUAUUUGUUUAUUA